rnacentral:rRNA from 1 species
UACGGGGGGGGCAAGCGUUGUUCGGAAUUACUGGGCGUAAAGGGCUCGUAGGCGGCCAACUAAGUCAGACGUGAAAUCCCUCGGCUUAACCGGGGAACUGCGUCUGAUACUGGAUGGCUUGAGUUCGGGAGAGGGAUGCGGAAUUCCAGGUGUAGCGGUGAAAUGCGUAGAUAUCAGGAGGAACACCGGUGGCGAAGGCGGGUCUCUGGGCCGAUACUGACGCUGAGGAGCGAAAGCGUGGGGAGCAAACAGG